AGUCGUCACAGCGACUAUAAAAAGGGCUUUAGGCUGUGAGCGUUGACCGUCAGAAAUGGCGGUCAGGUAGUC
rnacentral:ribozyme from 1 species